UCCAGAAAUACAGACAUCAACAAAGAGACCAAAACAACUAUUUUGUUUGUUUGAGAACCUCUAACAGGAUACAAAGGCAAUCCUCCCUCUGGCACCAUACCUGAUUCUUCCUAUUUAAUGACCAGUCUUAAAUUUCGGGGCUAUUGGUGGGUUAAUAUGUAAAGUAUUUUGUGAAUAUUGUUUAAUAGCACAAGUGUUUUUCCAUGGAAAUACAGAAAAAAAGUGGAUGGAAGAAAUAAGAUCAAGGCAAGAAAAGAAGUUGGCAGAAAAAGAUGCCACCAUAAGAGCUUAAGUAAUUCAUUUCCCUUACAAUCCUGUUUUAAGCUCCUCUUUUGGCCUGCUUAUUUAUAUUCUAUGACUGAUGUAUGCAUCUUGUAAUUUCGGCAUCUUAAUUGGAAGAGGAAAAUGACCUCAGCCAGUGAAAAUGGCAUGCUUUAUGAAAGAAAACAAGGAUCUGAGCAACAAACUGAAAGAAUAUCCAGAAGCAAAGCAAAAUCUUCCAUGUUCGAGAGGAGAGACAAAGACAAGAUCAAUUAGAUUCUACAGAGGUUCCCACGGUUUCCCAGUGAAUUAUAUCUCAACUUCAAAGACACCUGUACUCAUUUUGGGGAUUUUUUUAACAAUAUACUGCAAGGAGAUGAAAUUGAAGAGUGAUUAACAUCUGGCAAAACCUAUCAGGAAAGUAUAUCAGGAAGGCCUAC